rnacentral:lncRNA from 1 species
GCAGUCUCCUCUGUGUACCUCCUGGCGUGGUAGCAAGGGGAGAUGGCGGACUGAGAUUGAUGCCUACGACGUGCCGGAUUCUUAGCAUUACUACUUACGGCAACUACUGGGGUGAAGAUGCUAUUAUCUACCCCUCCUCUUUCUUACUAAGAGAGACAACAAGGGUUGGUGCACUCACCCUAUCGCAGGGAUGCCGCUCAGCGCACUGCCGGCGCAGUCCCGCAGCUCCAUGCUGUAACCCUGCAAGGUAGAGCCAUCCUGUCCUACUCAUGGAUAAAGGCUCGAGGAAUAUUGCAAAGCUGACAGUGGCAGCCUAUACUGAGACCCGAAUCCUCCCACAGCAGGCCGUUGCUUAUUUUAUUGAGACACCUCUUUGCCCCUUUCUCACGGGUCCCUUCGUUUAUCGUCAUUGCGUUUCAUGGCAAUUCAGGCCCUCCUACCUCGCAUGCUUCAAGAUAGAUAGUUGUAAUAACUUCACACACACACACGCGCGCAAUGCUUUUUCCCUCUUUCCCGUCCUCCUCCAAUCCUGCACAAGAAAAU